rnacentral:rRNA from 1 species
AGUCGAGGGGUAACAGAGAGAAGCUUGCUUUUCUGCUGACGACCGGCGCACGGGUGCGUAACGCGUAUACAAUCUGCCUUAUACAGAGGGAUAGCCUUUAGAAAUGAAGAUUAAUACCUUAUAGUCUAUUUUUAUAGCAUUAUAUAAAUAGUAAAGCUUCGGUGGUAUAAGAUGAGUAUGCGUCCUAUUAGUUAGUUGGUAAGGUAACGGCUUACCAAGACAACGAUAGGUAGGGGCCCUGAGAGGGGGAUCCCCCACACUGGUACUGAGACACGGACCAGACUCCUACGGGAGGCAGCAGUGAGGAAUAUUGGACAAUGGAGGCAACUCUGAUCCAGCCAUGCCGCGUGCAGGAUGACGGCCCUAUGGGUUGUAAACUGCUUUUAUAUAGGAAGAAACCUUUUCACGUGUGAGAAGCUGACGGUACUAUAAGAAUAAGGACCGGCUAACUCCGUGCCAGCAGCCGCGGUAAUACGGAGGGUCCGAGCGUUAUCCGGAAUCAUUGGGUUUAAAGGGUCCGUAGGCGGGAAUCUAAGUCAGUGGUGAAAUCUUGCAGCUCAACUGUAAAAUUGCCAUUGAUACCUGGAUUUUCUUGAAUUAAGUGUGAAGUGGUUAGAAUGUGUAGUGUAGCGGUGAAAUGCAUAGAUAUUACACAGAAUACCAAUUGCGAAGGCAGAUCACUAACACCUAUAUUGACCGCUGAGGGACGAAAGCGUGGGGAGCGAACAGGAUUAGAUACCCUGGUAGUCCACGCCGUAAACGAUGGAUACUAGCUGUUCGAUCUUCGGAUUGAGUGGCUAAGCGAAAGUGAU